rnacentral:rRNA from 1 species
UACGUAGGGGGCAAGCGUUAUCCGGAUUUACUGGGUGUAAAGGGAGCGUAGACGGCUGUGCAAGUCUGAAGUGAAAGCCCGUGGCUCAACCGCGGAACUGCUUUGGAAACUGUAUAGCUUGAGUACUGGAGAGGCAGGCGGAAUUCCUAGUGUAGCGGUGAAAUGCGUAGAUAUAUGGAAGAACACCAGUGGCGAAAGCGGCUCUCUGGUCUGUAACUGACGCUGAGGUUCGAAAGCGUGGGUAGCAAACAGG